UGACCCACGUUUACCCGUGCGAGUCUAGUAUGCUAUCAUUUGAAAGCAACGAACGUGACCGUAUCCUUUUAUUAUAUACGCACGCGUAUAUUUAUUCAUUAAAGGGACCGCUGUUUCUUUUUUUAAACCAGAGGAAGGUUACGGCAAUAACAGGUCUGUGAUGCCCUUCGAUGUUCCGGGCUGCACACGUGCUACAAUGAUUAUUUCAUUAAGUAUCUACUAUACUGC
rnacentral:rRNA from 1 species